rnacentral:ncRNA from 1 species
CUAUGCUUGCUGCGUCACGGUCCUUCGCGAGACGAUCGCGCGGGCUAAGAGGGAAUCCGGUGCGUCCGCUCAGGCGGGCAAGGCCGGAGCUGCCCCCGCAACUGUCGGCGGUGAGCCGGUGCUCCACCAUGGUCACUGCAUCGUCCGGGCAACCCGGGCGGUGCGGGAAGACGGGGCACCGGUGAUGACCCGCGAGCCAGGAGACCUGCCGUGGCGCGAGAAGAACC